GAGCUGGUAGUCUAGUGGCAGAACGCUCGUCUCCCUACCGAACCGCUUCUGUGGUCCCUCACCCAAGGGAUCCGGAGGCUAGUAGGUAGAGUGGCGAGAAACCCGUGGUUCGAUUCCCGGCUGGCUCU